ACUCUAAAUGAUGUGUUCUAAUAAGAAAUAAUCACCUCUUAAGAGUAUGGUAACAUGUGUGAUACUAAGCACAAGUAAUACAAAACAGCAUAUAACCUGAAUUUUAUGUAUAGUUCACGUCUGGGAGGAAAUGUUCCCAAUGUUUGCACCAGAAUUAGAAGCAACCAGAGACUCAAUUGGUCUGAUUCUUAUAACUAUGCGGGAGCUUUUCUGAGAUGCUGAAUGUGCACUUCUGAACCCCCUUCCACUCACCGAUCUGUGUUGAUCAGCCCAGAUACAUACAACUAACUAGAAUUUCGUCACUUUUAAACCCGCACCAUUGAGUUGAUGCCACAUCCAUGAAUAUGAUUGAUUUAGACAAGACUGAAAAACAUAGCGUUUUAGAUAACCGGGGGUUCAGCCAAAUUCUAAGGAGAGGCUUGAGAGCACCUGCUCCUCUAGUGGCAUUAAUAUGGCUCCUGGAGGCUGGGCAUGGUGGCUCACGCCUGUAAUCCUAGCACUUUGGGAGGCCAAGGUGGGCAGAUCGUGAGGUCAAGAGAUCAAGACUAUCCUGGCCAACAUGGUGAAACCCCAUCUCUACUAAAAAUACAAAAAUUAGCUGGGCAUAGUGGCAUGUGCCUGUAGUCCCAGCUACUCGGGAGGCUGAGGCAGGAGAAUCGCUUGAACCUGGGAGGCAGAGGUUGCAGUGGGCCGAGAUUGCACCAGUGCACUCCAGCCUGGGCGACAGAGCGAGACUCCAUCUCAAAAAAAAAAAAAAAAAAAAUGAUUCCCGGAAAAAUCAACCCACUUGUUUAUACAGCCUGUCUUACUUCAUAGGAUUCUUGUGAAAAUUAAAUGAGAUCCUGGGAGGGUUAGAUGACUACAGCAGAAAGAGCAGUCAGAUGAUUAAAAAAAUCUGAAUUUUAAUCCUGAGACUUUACUUAAUGUCUUUGAGUUUUAGCUUUCUUACCUGCAGAAUGAAGGUAGGAAUGUCGGCUCCAUAUAUCUCACAGAGUUUCUGCAAGGAUCACGAAACACUCACUCUGCAUGCUUUUUUUUUUUAAUUCUGAGUUUGUUAUAGGCACAGAGAUUUCUGAAUUUCUGGUCACUGUUUUUUAGAUUCAUUUACUUUUAUCUAGUCCCUUAGUCACCAGUUGCACAUAUCUACAAAAUGAUUGGCUGGGAUUAGUGGCGUGGUCUAUGAAGGUGAAAUUGAGUGAAACAAGAAGAACCAUAAAAGGCCCCAAAUCCGUGGCCUUGACUUCAUUAAGCAAGCGCAAUAUUCAUCUGUGCGAUCCAUCUUCAGUGAAAUGCAGCCUCCUGACCUUUUGCCAGCUUAGCCCCGCUGUCAGCAGCUGGGGGGCCCUGCCACAGGGCUGGGGAGGGAGCCCCGGGUUGCCCACAUUGCAGAUCAUCUCAGGAAUAUUCAAGAGGGACUGUAAAAUAAACCCCCAGUCUUGUAAUUUUAUUUCAAAAAGCAAAAAUUCUCCCAGAUAAUGAGCAUUUUGCUCUAAUAAGAACUGUAGGAUUGAUUAGGUUCAAACUGUUAACAGACAUCCUUAUGGUUAAUGAAGCAGCACUGAAAAUGCCUCUGGAUUUUUUUGAAACUUAAAUCAUACAAAAGCAAGCAAAGAACUGGAGGUAGGGUGGAAUAAACUGUCUGUUAGUUAAUAUACUCAAAAUAAUGGACCCAAAAUGUUCUUUGAAAAGUUAAUAUGUAUCAAGA
rnacentral:lncRNA from 1 species